rnacentral:misc_RNA from 1 species
UCCCCCGAAUGAGGGCAGUCCUAUCAGACAAAUCUAACUGAUAGCGAGGGUUUCGCUCGUUUACCCACUUAAGGGCACAGCUCACGCCACGAGCUGACGACAGCCGUGCAACACCUGUCAUGCCGUUCCCAGCAGCCUAUCCCGAAUAUGUUCGAGAUACGAUGCUGGGCACGGUCCUGUUUCCAGGACGUUCGGCAGAUGUCAAGGCCUGGUAAGGUUCUCCGGUUAUCGUCGAAUUAAACCACAUGCUCCACCGCUUGUGCGAUCCCCCGUCAAUUCCUUUAUGUUUUAGCCUUGCGGCCGUACUUCACAGGCGGCACACUUAACGCGUUAGCUUCGCUACAAGAAGGGUCGAUGCUUCUGAUAGCUAGUGUGCAUCGUUUACGGCGUGGACUA